GACGGAGGAUGCAAGCGUUAUCCGGAAUUAUUGGGCGUAAAGCGUGCGUAGGAGGUUUGUUAAGUCUGAUGUGAAAGCCCUGGGCUCAACCUGGGAAUUGCAUUGGAUACUGGCAGGCUAGAGUGCGGUAGAGGGUAGUGGAAUUCCCGGUGUAGCAGUGAAAUGCGGAGAGAUCGGGAGGAACAUCUGUGGCGAAGGCGACUACCUGGACCAGCACUGACACUGAGGCACGAAAGCGUGGUGAGCAAACAGG
rnacentral:rRNA from 1 species